GACGAACGCUGGCGGCGUGCCUAACACAUGCAAGUCGAACGGAGUGGCGAAUGGGUGUAUAACACGAGGGUUACCUGCCCUGCACUUCGGGAUAACCCUGGGCAACUGUGCCUAAUACCGGACAGUGUGGGAUGGGCGCGCGGCCAAUGAGCUUGUUGGUGGGGUAAUGGCACACGAAGGCGGCGACAGGUAGCCGGCCUGAGAGGGUGGACGGCCACAUAGGGACUGAGACACGGAGCAGGAUGCUACGGGAGGCAGUAGUGGAGAAUAUUGCACAAUGAGCGGAAGCCUGAUGCAGCGACGCCGGGUGGGGGAUGACGGGCUUCGGGUUGUAAACUCCUUUAACAAUCGCCGCGGUAGAUGGAGAAGAAGCAACGGCUAACUACGUGCCAGCAGCCGCGGUAAUUC
rnacentral:rRNA from 1 species